rnacentral:lncRNA from 1 species
GCGGUAACAGCCACUGUUAUAUUGGAAACGACUGUUUCCCGUGUACGUCUUCUUACUCGACAAGGGCUGCAAUUAGACCAAUAACAUAUGUUCGUUGCAUCCUGAGUAGGGCAGUCCCAACUUCUAUCACAGUUACACAUGCAAUUAUAACGCAAAUAGCCUAGUAUAAACUGAAAUCGGGAAUUUCCCUUAUAUUACUGUUCAUUGACUACAUUGUCUGCAACUGCUUGUCAUGGUAAAGCUUAUUAGCACCAAGAGAAAAAUAGCUGUUAAAGUGUGAAACAUCU